rnacentral:rRNA from 1 species
GACGAACGCUGGCGGCGUGCCUAAUACAUGCAAGUCGAGCGCUGAAGGUUGGUACUUGUACCAACCGGGUGAGCAGCGAACGGGUGAGUAACGCGUGGGGAAUCUGCCUUUGAGCGGGGGACAACAUUUGGAAACGAAUGCUAAUACCGCAUAAACACUUUCAACACAAGUUUUAAGGUUGAAAGAUGCAAUUGCAUCACGCAAAGAUGAUUCCGCGUUGUAUUGGUUAGUUGGUGGGGUACAGGCGCACCAAGGGGUGGAUACAUCGCCGACCUGAGAGGGUGAUCGGCCGCAUUGGGACUGUGACACGGCCCAAAGGCCUACGGGAGGCAGCAGGAGGGAAUCUUGGGCAAUGGGCGAGAGUCUGACCGAGCAACGCCGCGGGAGGGAAGAAGGUUUUCGGAUCGUAAAACUCUGUUGGUAGAGAAGAACGUUGGUGAGAGUGGAAAGCUCAUCAAGUGACGGUAACUACCCAGAAAGGGACGGCUAACUACGUG